rnacentral:rRNA from 1 species
CUUUUUCGCAAUGGGCGAGCCUGACGGAGCACGCCGCGUGAGUGAUGAAGGUCUUCGGAUCGUAAAACUCUGUUAUUAGGGAAGAACAAAUGUGUAAGUAACUAUGCACGUCUUGACGGUACCUAAUCAGAAAGCCACGGCUAACUCCGUGCCAGCAGCCGCGGUAAU